rnacentral:tRNA from 1 species
GCCGAAGUGGCGGAACAGGCAGACGCGCUGGUCUCAAACACCAGUUCCCGCAAGGGAGUAUCGGUUCGACCCCGAUCUUCGGCA